rnacentral:rRNA from 1 species
CAGUCGCCACGGGAAUACGAAGGGGGCUAGCGUUGCUCGGAAUCACUGGGCGUAAAGCGCACGUAGGCGGAUCGUUAAGUCAGAGGUGGAAGCCUGGAGCUCAACUCCAGAACUGCCUUUGAUACUGGCGAUCUCGAGUCCGGAAGAGGUAAGUGGAACUGCGAGUGUAGAGGUGAAAUUCGUAGAUAUUCGCAAGAACACCAGUGGCGAAGGCGGCUUACUGGCCCGGUACUGACGCUGAGGUGCGAAAGCGUGGGGAGCAAACAGGAUUAGAUACCCCGGUAGUCCCUGUCUCUUAUAC